rnacentral:rRNA from 1 species
GACAGAGGUGCCGAGCGUUAGGCGGAAUCACUGGGCUUAAAGCGUGUGUAGGCGGACCGUUAAGUACCUUGUGAAAUCCCACGGCUCAACCGUGGAACGGCUGGGUAUACUGGCGGUCUUGGGCCACCUAGGGGCGAGCGGAACAAGCGGUGGAGCGGUGAAAUGCGUAGAUAUCAUCUGGAACGCCAAUGGUGAAAACAGGUAGCUGGGAGUGUGCUGACGCUGAGACACGAAAGCCAGGGGAGCGAACGGG